rnacentral:rRNA from 1 species
AGUGAACACUGGCGGUAGGCCUAACACAUGCAAGUCGAACGGCAGCACAGUGAGAGCUUGCUCUUACGGGUGGCGAGUGGCGGACGGGUGAGGAAUACAUCGGAAUCUACUUUUUCGUGGGGGAUAACGUAGGGAAACUUACGCUAAUACCGCAUACGACCUACGGGUGAAAGCAGGGGAUCUUCGGACCUUGCGCGAUUGAAUGAGCCGAUGUCGGAUUAGCUAGUUGGCGGGGUAAAGGCCCACCAAGGCGACGAUCCGUAGCUGGUCUGAGAGGAUGAUCAGCCACACUGGAACUGAGACACGGUCCAGACUCCUACGGGAGGCAGCAGUGGGGAAUAUUGGACAAUGGGCGCAAGCCUGAUCCAGCCAUACCGCGUGGGUGAAGAAGGCCUUCGGGUUGUAAAGCCCUUUUGUUGGGAAAGAAAAGCAGCAGGUUAAUACCCCGCUGUUCUGACGGUACCCAAAGAAUAAGCACCGGCUAACUUCGUG